UGCCGAAUUUUUUUUUUUCUAUUUUCUUCCUCCCUCCUUCCUUCACUACUUCCUCCUCCUCUCCUCUGCCACCAAACCCCACUACAAGAAAAUAGGUUUUGGGCGACGGAUUUGAAAAUCAAGGACGAAAAAAUUGAAUUUUGUAGCCCAUAGUUGAGAUUAAGGGCAACGAGUUGAAUUUGUCGCCCAUAGUUAAAUUAUGGGCGACUAAAUUUAUUGUUGUUGCCCCAAAUUCAUAUUUGGGCGACGAGAUAAGUUUGGGUUGCCCAUUACUUUAAUUAGGCAACAAAAAUUUAUAUUUUGUUGCCCUUAUAUAAUAAAUGGGUUUGUUCAAAUCAUGUAUCGUUGCCCAUAAUCAAAAGAAAAUAGCGGGGAAAACCCCGCUCUAAAUUUUUCACACAAAACCACAUAUUUCACUUCUGCAAUACUUCAACUGCUCAUGUCCUCCUCAACUCACACCCUCUUCCACUCCACCUCAUCUUUCUCUUUUUCCGGUGAAUCGUUAUUCUUCCGACGAGUUCUUCGACUUUUGUCAGUUGAUGAGUUUAAUUAUGAUGGAAAAUUGAGUUUCUCACGAAUCAGACUUCGACGGUUAGCGUUUCUCAGGUUUCUCGACGUUUUCAACCACCCCACGUUUCUCAGGUGAUGGAGGCCGGAGUUCAGUGGUGAGGUUAGCGCGAGUUCGGCGGCAAGGUCAUUGAUGAAACACUUAGGUGGGUAACUUUCUCAUUCGUCGUCUUCCGAGAGGCAAUAUUAGAUGUCAAUAUUAAUGGUUACACAAUUCCUAAAGGGUGGAAAGUGUUGACAUGGUUUAGGACUUGUUAUUUAGAUCCUGAAGUCUGGCAUGAACCUAUGAAGUUCAAUCCUUCUAGAUGGAAAGAACAGUGGGUCGUGACUAUUUUCUCAAAUUAGUAAAGGAAAGCUAUAUGAAGUAUGACAAGGCUUGGAUUAUGUGAAUUUCUUUGCAGAUUAUGGGUAGUGCUAAUUAGUUUUUUCUAGAUUUAUUUUGAAUUUUGUAAGAUAUUCAAGUUACGUCGGAUGUUGAAUUAAAAGAUUAUUUUGUACUCUACCGAUUGUCUACAAUUUGCUAUUCCAUGAAUACUUCUUUUAUUAUAUCAUACUUUUAUUUUUAAUAAGUUUAUAUAC